GAUGAACGCUGGCGGCGUGCUUAACACGUGCAAGUCGAACGAAGCACUUAAGAUUGAUUCUUCGGAUGACGUCUUUUGUGACUUAGUGGCGGACGGGUGAGUAACGCGUGGGUAACCUGCCUCACACAGGGGGAUAACAGUUAGAAAUGACUGCUAAUACCGCAUAACCCGAUAGGAUCGCAUGAUCCAGACGGAAAAGAUUUAUCGGUGUGAGAUGGACCCGCGUCUGAUUAGCUAGUUGGUGAGGUAACGGCCCACCAAGGCGACGAUCAGUAGCCGGCCUGAGAGGGUGAACGGCCACAUUGGGACUGAGACACGGCCCAAACUCCUACGGGAGGCAGCAGUGGGGAAUAUUGCACAAUGGGGGAAACCCUGAUGCAGCGACGCCGCGUGAGUGAAGAAGUAUUUCGGUAUGUAAAGCUCUAUCAGCAGGGAAGAAAAUGACGGUACCUGACUAAGAAGCCCCGGCUAACUACGUG
rnacentral:rRNA from 1 species